rnacentral:rRNA from 1 species
AGAGAUGUGUGAUGACGCAUAUCAAUAAGCGGAGGAAAAGAAACUAACAAGGAUUCCCUUAGUAACGGCGAGUGAAGCGGGAAGAGCUCAAAUUUGAAAUCUUCAAGGUUCUACCUUGACGAAUUGUAGUUUAUAGAAGUGUUUUCUGUUAGUGGAGUGGCAAAAGUUCUUUGGAAUAGGACAUCAUAGAGGGUGAGAAUCCCGUAUUUGGUCAUUCCUCCUAGCGUUGUGAUACACUUUCAACGAGUCGGAUUGUUUGGGAAUGCAGUCCAAAAUGGGUGGUAAAUUUCAUCUAAAGCUAAAUACUGGCGAGAGACCGAUAGCGAACAAGUACCGUGAGGGAAAGAUGAAAAGAACUUUGAAAAGAGAGUUAAACAGUACGUGAAAUUGUCAAAAGGGAAGCGUUUGACACCAGUGUUGUUUUCUCGAAAAUCAAUUAAGAAUGUUUGAUUUUGUAGUAAGUAUUGACUUUAUCAGGCUUGCUUCUCUCUUUUCUGAAUCUUUUUAAUGCACUUUUCGGUUAACAAGUCAACAUCAAUUUCUUUUGUUGUAAAAGGGUAUGAGGAAGGUGGCUUUCUUUUCGGAGAAAGUGUUUAUAGCCUUGUAGCCUCUGCAAUCGGAGAGAUUGAGGUCUGCAGCGUAGAUCCUUCGGGGUUAGAUACAUUUGUGCUAAGUUAUAGCUUUUCAUAGACAACUUGUUGACUAUGUUAAGUCUUGUAGCUUACUCGCUUAUGCUAUUUUACCUACGCUUAGGAUGUUGAAGAUGUAGCACAUCAU